rnacentral:rRNA from 1 species
AACCCUUGACAUGGGUAUCGCGGGACCAGAGAUGGUCCUUUCAGUUCGGCUGGAUACCACACAGGUGCUGCAUGGCUGUCGUCAGCUCGUGUCGUGAGAUGUUCGGUUAAGUCCGGCAACGAGCGCAACCCACACUUCCAGUUGCCAUCAUUUGGUUGGGCACUCUGGAAGAACUGCCGGUGAUAAGCCGGAGGAAGGUGUGGAUGACGUCAAGUCCUCAUGGCCCUUACGGGUUGGGCUACACACGUGCUACAAUGGUGGUGACAAUGGGCCAAUCCCAAAAAGCCAUCUCAGUUCGGAUUGGGGUCUGCAACUCGACCCCAUGAAGUCGGAAUCGCUAGUAAUCGCGUAACAGCAUGACGCGG